rnacentral:rRNA from 1 species
AUGGCGUCCCCGCGUGCGCCCGACUGGCCCCGUGGCCUCAUCUUCGCACCCGGCGACGCCGAUCUCAUAACAAUCCACCUCCAGCGCAAGAGCUCCGGGUCCUCGCUCCACGCCGCCGACGCCCGGUACAUCCACAACGCGGACGUGUACGCGGCCGAGCCCGCCGCGCUCGUCAGCGGCCUCCUCCCCGCCUCGGCGAGGAGCGACGGCGAGGGCAGGGAGUGGUACUUCUUCACCUCCGUGCGGGCCCAGAGCAGCCGGGACACCCGCAGGUGCCGCGCCGUCGCGGGUGGGGCCGGCACCUGGCAUUCGGAGAAGGCGCGGUGCGUCGUGCUCGACGGGGGCGGCGCCGCCGUCGGGUACCGCCAAUCCUUCACCUACGAGCCCAAGAACGGCUGGCUGAUGCUCGAGUUCAGCCAACAAGAACCCCGCCGCGGCGAGGCCAUGCCCGUCCUCUGCAAAAUCUACCAGAAGCGUCGUGCCGGCCGGUCCGCCUCGAAGACGAUUUCGUCUGGGUCGUCGUCGAUGUCGGGAUCCAAGAGGAAGGCGGCGGCCGCGAACGAGCGCUCCGUCGAGGGUUCCUCGGCCCGCGUGAGGCGAUGCCUGCAGUUCGGUCUGCCUCCUGCCGCACCAAAUCCGCCCGCACUUGUUGCUACAUCGGAGAUUCAAGAAGCAUACUUGCUUUCAGCCCAGCGGCCGCAGGCAGAGCACGAACCAGAGGAGCCUCAAGAACCACCGGUACGCAUAGCACACACAGCCACACCGCUGAUUCCCAGCUUCUCCAUGGCCGCCGACCACGCCCUGACCUUGGACCGCACCGCCUUCCUCCGCCCCGCCCAAGAUUGGCCCAUGCCAGGGAAUUCGGACCUGAGCGACACGUCGACGGUACUACUGGGAAAUUAUGGCUUCGUCUCACCAGCCACCUCCGAGCUGAGCUGCUACAAUGCCACGACACCCUUGAGAGAUAACACCGGCGCUUGGGCCUUCCAGCCGUCCGCCCUGACCUCCUCCUAUGACACCACCUUCCUCCUCCCUGGCCAAGAUUGGGCCACACCAGAGUCGUCACAAGUCAGUGAGGCAUCGACGCUGGACAGCUACGGCUGCUUCUCGCCCGACCACGCCACAUCCAGGCCCACCACACAGCCGAUCAGCAAUGGCACCGGCUAUUGUUGGUCUUUCCCGCAGCACAGCGAGCUAUCAGCGAUUUUUGACGCCUGA